rnacentral:rRNA from 1 species
AUGAACGCUGGCGGCGUGCCUAAUCCCUGCAAGUCGAGCGAACGGACGAGAAGCUUGCUUCUCUGAUGUUAGCGGCGGACGGGUGAGUAACACGUGGAUAACCUACCUAUAAGACUGGGAUAACUUCGGGAAACCGGAGCUAAUACCGGAUAAUAUUUUGAACCGCAUGGUUCAAAAGUGAAAGACGGUCUUACUGUCACUUAUAGAUGGAUCCGCGCUGCAUUAGCUAGUUGGUAAGGUAACGGCUUACCAAGGCAACGAUGCAUAGCCGACCUGAGAGGGUGAUCGGCCACACUGGAACUGAGACACGGUCCAGACUCCUACGGGAGGCAGCAGUAGGGAAUCUUCCGCAAUGGGCGAAAGCCUGACGGAGCAACGCCGCGUGAGUGAUGAAGGUCUUCGGAUCGUAAAACUCUGUUAUUAGGGAAGAACAUAUGUGUAAGUAACUGUGCACAUCUUGACGGUACCUAAUCAGAAAGCCACGGCUAACUACGUG